rnacentral:rRNA from 1 species
AACGAACGCUGGCGGCAGGCUUAACACAUGCAAGUCGAACGGGCGUAGCAAUACGUCAGUGGCGGACGGGUGAGUAACACGUGGGAAUAUGCCUUUCGGUUCGGAACAACUCGGGGAAACUCGUGCUAAUUCCGGAUACGCCCUUACGGGGAAGGGAGUUUAUCGCCGAAGGAUUAGCCCGCGUUGGAUUAGCUAGUUGGUGAGGUAAUGGCCCACCAAGGCGACGAUCCAUAGCUGGUUUGAGAGAACGACCAGCCACACUGGGA